UGAGUAAUGCCUAGGAAUCUGCCUGGUAGUGGGGGACAACGUUUCGAAAGGAACGCUAAUACCGCAUACGUCCUACGGGAGAAAGCAGGGGACCUUCGGGCCUUGCGCUAUCAGAUGAGCCUAGGUCGGAUUAGCUAGUUGGUGAGGUAAUGGCUCACCAAGGCGACGAUCCGUAACUGGUCUGAGAGGAUGAUCAGUCACACUGGAACUGAGACACGGUCCAGACUCCUACGGGAGGCAGCAGUGGGGAAUAUUGGACAAUGGGCGAAAGCCUGAUCCAGCCAUGCCGCGUGUGUGAAGAAGGUCUUCGGAUUGUAAAGCACUUUAAGUUGGGAGGAAGGGUUGUAGAUUAAUACUCUGCAAUUUUGACGUUACCGACAGAAUAAGCACCGGCUAACUCUGUGCCAGCAGCCGCGGUAAUACAGAGGGUGCAAGCGUUAAUCGGAAUUACUGGGCGUAAAGCGCGCGUAGGUGGUUCGUUAAGUUGGAUGUGAAAUCCCCGGGCUCAACCUGGGAACUGCAUCCAAAACUGGCGAGCUAGAGUAUGGUAGAGGGUGGUGGAAUUUCCUGUGUAGCGGUGAAAUGCGUAGAUA
rnacentral:rRNA from 1 species